rnacentral:rRNA from 1 species
UGAACUCUGGCGGCGUGCCUAAUACAUGCAAGUCGAGCGAACAGACGAGGAGCUUGCUCCUCUGACGUUAGCGGCGGACGGGUGAGUAACACGUGGAUAACCUACCUAUAAGACUGGGAUAACUUCGGGAAACCGGAGCUAAUACCGGAUAAUAUAUUGAACCGCAUGGUUCAAUAGUGAAAGACGGUUUUGCUGUCACUUAUAGAUGGAUCCGCGCCGCAUUAGCUAGUUGGUAAGGUAACGGCUUACCAAGGCAACGAUGCGUAGCCGACCUGAGAGGGUGAUCGGCCACACUGGAACUGAGACACGGUCCAGACUCCUACGGGAGGCAGCAGUAGGGAAUCUUCCGCAAUGGGCGAAAGCCUGACGGAGCAACGCCGCGUGAGUGAUGAAGGUCUUCGGAUCGUAAAACUCUGUUAUUAGGGAAGAACAAAUGUGUAAGUAACUAUGCACGUCUUGACGGUACCUAAUCAGAAAGCCACGGCUAACUACGUG